GACGAACGCUGGCGGCGUGCUUAACACAUGCAAGUCGAACGGAAAGGCCCUGCUUUUGUGGGGUGCUCGAGUGGCGAACGGGUGAGUAACACGUGAGUAACCUGCCCUUGACUUUGGGAUAACUUCAGGAAACUGGGGCUAAUACCGGAUAGGAGUUCCUGCUGCAUGGUGGGGGUUGGAAAGUUUCGGCGGUUGGGGAUGGACUCGCGGCUUAUCAGCUUGUUGGUGGGGUAGUGGCUUACCGAGGCUUUGACGGGUAGCCGGCCUGAGAGGGUGACCGGCCACAUGGGGACUGAGAUACGGCCCAGACUCCUACGGGAGGCAGCAGUGGGGAAUAUUGCACAAUGGGCGGAAGCCUGAUGCAGCAACGCCGCGUGCGGGAUGACGGCCUUCGGGUUGUAAACCGCUUUCGCCUGUGACGAAGCGUGAGUGACGGUAAUGGGUAAAGAAGCACCGGCUAACUACGU
rnacentral:rRNA from 1 species